rnacentral:rRNA from 1 species
UACGUAGGGUGCAAGCGUUGUUCGGAUUUACUGGGCGUAAAGGGCGCGCAGGCGGCUCAUUUUGUCAGGCGUGAAAGCCCCGGGCUUAACCUGGGAGGUGCGUUUGAUACGGAUGGGCUAGAGUUCGGGAGAGGAGAGUGGAAUUCCCCAGUGUAGAGGUGAAAUUCGUAGAUAUUGGGAAGAACACCGGUGGCGAAGGCGGCUCUCUGGACCGAGACUGACGCUGAGGCGCGAAAGCGUGGGGAGCAAACAGG